AGAUAGAUAGAUAGAUAGAUAGAUAGAUAGAACAUAUUAAUGACAGACAGAUAGAUAGAUAGAUAGACAGAUAGAUAGAUAGAUAGAUAGAUAGAUAGAUAGAUAGAUAGAUAGAUAGAAAGAUAGAUGAUAGAAUUCGAUCGAUAGAAGGAUAGAUAAUAGAUAGAUUGAUAGAGAGACAGAUGAUAGACAGAUGUCCGGUGCGUCUAGUGUUAGAAUCUGCUGAGGUGGCUGUAAUCUCAGCUGGAGCAUCAAACAUACUGUAGCUCUGGUCUGAAGAAGCGCACGCUCUGAAAAGAGCAUCUGUUGAAUGUACACUUUCACUCUCCUUCCUUCUGUCAUUCACACAUCCCCCUUUCACUGGAGCAGCUAUUUCCUGUUUUCCUGUAAUGGCUCUCUCUCUCUCUCUCUCUCUCUCUCUCUCUGUAGACUGUACUGUAUCCAAUCUGUUCUUCUGUGUGUCAGAAUGCAGUGAAUCUCUAUCACUGUUGUUAAUCCUUCUCCAGGCUCCCCAUGGGUCCCUAAAAGUCUUACAUUCACUUUGAUCAAAUGUGAGCUCAUAAAAAACCUGAAUAUAUUGAAUAUCUAUUCAAUAUCUUGAAUGUUAGAAGAAUGGAAACAUAAGUAUACUUCUGGAUGAAAAAAAGGAUAUACAGUAUUAAUUUUAUCUGUACAGAUCUUUAAAACUCUUAGAUUUGAAUAACUCUGCAUUUACACUGGUUCUCCAGUAAACUCCAAAAGACUUUAAGAUUGACCCUUGACCCUUAGAGUGGAAAUCAUGCCCAGACCACUGUAUGUUUCCAUUGUUAGGGCUGCUUUCUUUCUUUCUUUCUUUCUUUCUUUCAAAGCUUAACUCCUGCAGUCUCUUUGGCAGCAGUAUAUAAUUUAGAUUUAGAUUAGCUUUUUUAUAUCAUUACAAGCUUUCAGUGAGAUUAAUAACACGAUAACAGAAUAAUUCAAUCAUGAUGCUGCUAUAUCAGCACAAAGUGUGUGUGUGUGUGGGUGUGUGGGUGUAGGUCUGAAUGAUUCAGUGAUGUUAGAUUAACCCUCACCAUACAGUACAUGUCCACAGGUGCAGAGCUGAGUGGGCUUUUCUAAUUCAUUCUCUGUGAGCUAUGCAUCAGGCUUGAACAUUUUUCAACUUAAUGCUUAUAAAGUGAAAGGUAGCCAAGAUUGUGAAUGUUUAAAUCAUGUUGUUACAUGUUAAAAUAUUUCAUUGAGAUGUCAAGUGCAGUUUGGAGGCAUUCAUGUGAUCAAAAAUGACUGUAAUGGCAUUUAUAAUGUUACAAAAUUAUUUCUAUUUAAAAAAAAAACAACAACAGCUGUUUUAACAUCAGUAAUAAUAGGAAAUGUUUCCCGAGUAGUAAAGCAUAUUAGAAUGAUUUCUGAAGGAUCAUGUGGCACUGAAGACUGGAGUAAUGAUGCUGAAAAUUCUGCUUUGAUUACAGCAAUUAAUUACAUUUUGCAAUAUAUUCAAAUAUAAAGCAGUUAUUUUGAAAUAUUUUUGUAUUUUGAAUUUGGUCAAAUAAAUGCAGUCUUGGUGAGCAGGUGUCAUCUUUCAAAACCAUUAAAAAAGCUUAUCGACCCCAAAUUUGUUAAAUGAUGGCUUUAAUGACUGUAUUGAAAGCAAUAAUAGAGCAUACUGACAAACAUGCUGUUGUACAUUUACAGACACACCCCUAAAGUGACAGACAGCACAGAUUUUAUCGAGCGGAUUUCUUCUGCACCGGUGGACAUGGACGGUCAGGCCAGUUAAAGGUCACUAGAUUUCACUUCCAGCAUAAACAAGGACGGAUCCCAGUCAACACACUAUAGAGAGAGAGAGAGAGAGAGAGAGAGAGAGACUGAGUGGGUCAUAAAAUGAUUUGAACACUCUCUCCAGAUAAUCCCGUGGCUCAAAACAGUCUCUCAUUCUUCAGAAACAGUUUGUAAUCCACUGAAGAGAUUGUUGUGCAGAAAAACAGAUAAAGUUGAAAGAAUUUUUUGGACAGACUUCACGCUGAGCAAAUACAUAAACAUUAGCCUUUACUUGCAAGAAAACUUCACUACCAAAAACUUUCUACUUACAUUUGCAUUCAAAAAGCUCUCUGACAGACGUGAGAAGUUUCUGAAGAGUUCCUUUCUUCUCUCCUACUGAAGAUCAAUACAGCUCAAGAUUUUAUGUCCUAUUCCUGCAUUCGCAACCACUGUUCACCAGCACAUCACAAAUGAUAAGAUUAACCAUGGGUUAUGCAAAUGUGGCUGUAACCUGUUACACUUUAAUUAAAGGGGUCAUAUGAUGUGAUUUCAAGUUUUCCUUUCUCUUUGGAGUGUUACAAGCUGUUUGUGCAUAGAUAAGAUCCCUGAAGUUGCAAAGACUAAAGUAUCAAAACCAAAGAGAUAUUCUUUAUAAAAGUGAAGACUCGGCCACGCACCCCUAAAACGGCUCAUUCAAACAUGCCCCCACAUGUCUACGUCAUGGUGUGGGGAAAUUUUCAAAACACCGCCCAAAUGUAUAUGCAAAGAAAGAAGGCUAGACUUUUAUUCUCGCUGUAGUAUUGUUGCUGCCGCUGGUGCCAUGUCAUGGAGACGCUGUGUUUCGUUGCGAAAGCGAAACUACUUUGUUUGGGCUUCCAAAAGAGGACACAACUAGAAAUCAGUGAUUAAGUUGUAUUUACAACACUGUUCCAGAACAGUUCAACCCACAUAUUCAAGUGCGUGCAGCACAUUUUACGGAGAACUAUUUCCUGAACCUGGGAGUAGCCUGCCAGCUGUGCUCAAAGGCUGUUUCUAUAAUGUGGGGCAAUUCCAACUUUGCAAGGACAGUAUGGCGCUUCUGACUCACAGCCUGUAAGUAUGUUUUCAUAUUUAAAGAAUUUGCCACUGACUAUUCAAAUGCAAGUUUUGAGCUGUGUAGAGUACGUAGUGCUUGUUGUUUGUCAUUUCUCCGAUCACAAAUGCAGAAAUGGUAAUGUUUACGCGGUGCAAUGCGUAAAAAGACAGUAUGAGUCAUUAUAAUCAGUAAUUAUGUCCCCACUGGAUGCAAUAAAUGCCUCGUUUGUAAUGGGUUUUAUUGUUUUUGUGUUGUCGCGCCGGGACACAGCAUCACAAUAUGGUAAGGGGCGUAACAUUUCCGUCUCACGCUUGAGGUAUUCGGCCAAUCACAAGGCACUGGGUAGCUGACCAAUCAGAGCAUGCCUCACUUCUCAGAACAAUGAGCUUUGUAAAAAUCGGCACGUUUCAGAAAGGCGGGGGCAUAGAGGAGCAACAAUAAUGUACAGUAUGUGGAAAAUUGUCACGGUGCACACAGCAGGGAGGAACGAGGAGACGAGGAUAACUCAAAAUACAGUCUUUAAUGAAUCCAAACAGACAGGGCACGACAAGGCAAGGCAGGGCAGGGCAGGGCAGACACACAGGAACACUGGGAAUAACGAGUAGACCAGACCAAAACUAACUAAACAGGCAGGAACUAAAUACACAUGACAAUAACAGAUAAUUACACACACCUGAACCGAAUAAAGUAAUAAUCACACAGAACAAGGACAGGAACAUGACCAAAUAAGGAAACAAGAGGCGGGAACACGUGACACUCAUGACAGAGGACUGACAAAAAUAAUGUGUUUUUUGAACCUUAAACCGCAUAAACACAUUGCAUUACACCAAAUACACCAAAUAAUGUUCGUUUUAGCAACAUCAUAUGAACACUUUAAUGUAGGUGUUUUACAAAUGAAAAAUCAGAAUAACUAGUUUUGCCAGCAUUAGCUAAAAAUUGUUCACAAAUUUGGGGUCAGUAAGAUUUUUUAUUUUAUUUUUGUUGUUGUUGUUGUUAAAAUACUUUUUAAUUGCUCAAAAAUACAGUAAAAACAGUAAUGUUGUGAAAAUUCUAGUAGUAUUGUAGCAUAAAAGGUUCUAUUUGAAUGUAUUUUAAAAUGUAUUUUAUUCCUGUGAUAGCAAAGGUAAAUCAGCAGAAUCUUUGUAAAAAUUGAGCAAACUGUGAUUUUUGAUCAAUUUAAUGCAUCCUUGUAAAUUAAAAGUAUUCAUUUCUUGAAAAAAAAAAAUAGACAUGUCGUGAUUGAUAAAUAAAUGAAAUGGAAAAAAAAAAAAAAAAUGUACAAAAAAAAAUAUACAAAAAUGUACACUAAUAUACAAAAGUUUGGGGUCAGUAAGGUUAUUUAUUUCUUUUAUUAUUUAUUUACUUAUUUAUUUAUUUAUUUGGAAAUAAAUUAAUCUGAUUGUAUUCAGGGUUCAAAUUUCUGGCCAUUAAUUUUUCGUAUGUAUUUUUUUUAUUUAAAGAUAUGUUAAAAAGGUAUUUGAACAAACCCAACAAACAUGUAAUAAUAGCAUAAACAAACAAACAAAAAAAUAUAUAUAUAUUUUUCUAUCUAGUUGUCCUUUUUUUAAUUAUGACAGUGACAAUGAUUGUUUUGUACUGUUUGUCCAUCUGCAGCAAGACAGAUUCCUUUUAUAUCUUAAGUUUGUUGAAUAAAAAGUCUAAAAUCUAAAGAUAAACAUAUGAUGGUCAAUUUUCCGCUGAUUUAAAACUCAUUAGAAGAUUCUUGAGUCGCAACAGAUGUUUUAUGUAUUAUGUUGCAGUUCCUAACAGAGUUACAGAUCAACUGGAAAUUAAUAUUUACUUUUAACCACCAAAGAUAACUUUUGACUCACAUCUGCUGCUUGGUGAGAUUUUAUUCCCAUUUACUCCAACUACCUUAACUUCUACUUGGAUUUUUAUUCCAAAUGACUAUGUAUGUGUGACUAAUCUCUUAGAUGAUUGUGAUUGUGUGCAUACUGAAGAAUAUAUGACAGGAGAGAACUCAAACCACAUACAUUCUUCACCUGAAGCCCAGUCUCUCUCUCACACAUGUACCACCCAGCGUGAGAACAUUCUUCUGUACCUUCUCAGUUUUUCUCCUUCUCAAUCUUUCUCAUGGCCCAGGCAUCUCCAGCUGUUUCUAAUACUCCUCUCAGUCAUGCUGGAUGCUUUGGAGCUAUAUGAUUACAGCUGUGUGUGUGUGUGCGUGUGUGCAUGUGUGUGUUUAACCAUAUGCUCCCAUCUGGCUCCAUCCCAGGGGAAGUCGACCCGCUCUUAAAGAGCUUGGCUAAGGUCUGGUGUUUAGCAGCUCUGGGCUCACGGCAUGCAUUCCUGCGUCGGUGGAGUCUAGGCGCAGUAAAGCGUUUGAUUGACGGAUGAAACAGGAAAUUGUUUUUCUUUCUUCCUUUGGGUUUUCCAUACAGAGAUGCUGAUUCAGUGGUCCGUUAAGGUUGGAGUUGGCCUAAUGCCACUGGAGGAGUCUAGAAAAGAUACGCUUACAUCUAUCUCAAGUGUGCUUUUUCAUCUGGAAGAUCAUUUUGCUCAUCUGCAAUACAUUCCCUGUUGAAUGUUAGAAUGACAUGCGGCAGAUGUUUUUGCGAUGUUCAUGAAACAUACAGACUGUCAUCGCCUAGUCCGUUUGAACAUGGCUAGCAAGCGCUCUUGCACUGGUCUGACGGUAACAAAUCUCAGCACUCAAGGGGAUAAUCCAGUUUCCCUUUGUCUGUGCUAUUAAAGCAGAUGUGAUUAUUCUGGGAAGUUGCUCUAACCAUAUUGACCUUAACUAACUUAGCUUAGUUUCUCUUCAAACUAUUGCUCUGCCCUAACAAGAGUUGAGCUGAAAGAGAAAACUGUAUUAGACGGUAAAAGCCCAUUCACACCAGGAACGAUAACUAUAAUGAUUACGAUUAAAGGAAAGAUAAAAACAUUGACAGCCAAUCAGAAUCCAGUAAGGGUUUCUGCCUUUCCACAAAUUAAGGACUUAAAAAGAUCUUAAAUAGGAGGAUUAACUAUACACGUCUUAACUUUUAUAAAGAAUAUCUCUUUGGGUUUGAGACUUUAGUCUUUGCAACUUUAGGGAUCUCAUUUAUGCAUGAACAGCUUGUAACACUCCAAAGAGAAAGGAAAGCUUGAAAUCACAUCAUAUGACCCCUUUAAAUCAACAUACAUUAGCUUGAGAUGCAAAAUAAAGACCUUCAUAAAACCUGCAGAAACCCUAUCAAACAGAACGUUAUCAUCUGCUAGAUAACUAAUAGUUAUUAUUAUAUCUUCAUAGUUAUCGUUCUUUGGGUGGACAGGCUUUAAUGCCUUGCUAUAGCGCCCCUUGUGGAAACACUAAGUAUGUAAAGUGUACUUGUGUUGGGGAUUGCACUAUAAACUAAUGUUUCACUACCAGAAAUAAUGUAAAUAUACCAAAUUGCAAAUCUAUUUUUACCUUUAUAAUAUACUGACAACUACCUUAAAACACAGGUUGUAAAGAGUAAGUCAUGGGAUGAAUCAAAGUUCAUCACAAGUAGCUUUUCCACAAGCUGAGGUAAAUGCUAAUAUAUGAAAGGUGCAUGUUAUCAUACACACAAAUAUGAUAAACCACAACACUAAAAUAAUUCUCAUAACAUUAAUUUAACAACAUAAUGUGUAACAUAAAAUCCUGAUGUACAUAAAUGAAAACUAAGAAGAAACUAUUUCAAUGAAAAACCAUUAAAUGUGAAGAAUUCUGGGAAUGUCGGAUUUUCACAGUAAAUUAAGAUGAAUUGUUCGUUUUCACUUCCAAAAACUGUACAUAUAACAGCAUUUUAUUGUAAAAUUACAUGAAAAGUCCCAUUAGAUCUACAGUUUUAUACUGAACUUACCAUUCAGGCAAGGUUUUUACUGUAGCAUAUUUACAGUCUUUUACUGUUGGAGUCACAAUCAUUUUUGCUGAGUUUGCUUCUGAAAGUCUGAUUUAAUUUGUGAAUUUUCUUUCCUACAGGGACAGAUAAAACGAAAUGUUUAGUGUCAGAUUAACACAUCAUGCAGUGCGAUUCACUUCCCCUAGAGUCAUUUCACCGUCAGGAAAACACAUGUCACCUAACUGUGUUUAGCUGUGAAUAAGCUGUGUUUUGUUAUCUGCUUGAAUCAGACACUCAGACAGACGGACUGCUGAGAAUGUGCUGCAGUCAGAUUUAAAGUGCCCUGUAAAUAUGUUUGUGGCGUUGUUUGCAUUUUAAAGUCUGACAAAUGGGGUCACGGGUGAAGUGCUGGCAUAUUUUCGCAGGGUGAUUCACGCGUGGAACAUUCUGCAUGUGUGGGGGAAACAUGGUUUGAAUAUUUUGAAAUGAAUCAUUUGAAGAGGAAUGAAUUGAGUUCUCAAGGGGGUUUUGUGGCGGUGGCUUACGUUCUCCUUAGAUCAAUGAAUAUGACAUUUUGAGAUGGUUCCCCCCUGCUUUCUGCUGCGGUUAAAGGGUACAGUCAUGCUGGGUACUGUAUAUUUGUCUUUGAAAGAUGAUUGAUAGAUAGAUGGAACGUUUGCAGUUCUUACAGAGAUAUUUUAGAAAAUGUCCCAAUAUCAUUUAAAACUUUCAUGUUUCGUUAGAAAUUAGACAUCUAGGUUGUGUCAGAUGUCUUACUGUAGCUUUGUGUGAGGAAAAGACCAACAUUUGAUGAAUCGCUACUCAUGCAUAUGAACUGGCAUGUCGAGUUCAGUUGCAAUGCACAUCAAAUCCAAUGACAACAAAUCUUGUACAACGCAAAAAUGCACUUUUUUUUUUGCAUGCAUGCAUGCAAUCGCAAAUAGACAUUCUUCUUCAUGAUCACUUAAAAUGCAGCUGCAUCUUUUGUGUUCCAUGGAAGAAAGUCAUACAGGUUUGGAACAACAUGAGGGUAGGUAAACAAAUUUUCUUUCAUGGGUGAAUUAUUCCUUCAGUAGGACAUGUUCAGUCCUACUCAGUGUGUAUUAUAAUCGCUCUGGAAACAAACUUUGACUUACCGUUCCAAACCCUGAACCGCAACGCAACCAUCAGCACUUGCGCUUUCAUCUUCCAGCUGAUGAAACAGAGCCAAGAGGAAAUGAGACAACUUUUUUUGUGAACUUCCUGAAGACCUUUGUUUUGACCUUUAAAUAGUGCUUAGACUUCCACUAGACCUUGUGAUGUGAAAUAAAACUUCCUCUUGUGGUAUACUUAAGAUAGUUAUGCUACUUUUGUUGAUGGCUACUUUAUUACUACCCAGAGCUUUCAAACAUCUGGUUAAAUCAUAAUUUAAUGAGAUAUGGCACCAAUGUUCCUGUUAUAUUGCAUUAUGGAAUAUUUUAAUUUGUCUCCAUAAAUGAAUGUAAGUAGUUGUAAAAUAGAGUAAAAACAGUAACAUUGUGAAAUGUUAUUACUGUUUUCUAUUUAAAUAUAUUGUCAAAUUGCAUGCAAAGAUGAGUUUUCAGCAUCAUUUCUCCAGCCUUCAGUGUCACAUGAUGCUUCAGAAAUCAUUCUGCUGCCUAAGAAACAUUUCUUAUUACCAAUGUUAAAAACAGUUGCGCCGCCUAAUAAUUUUGUGCAAACAUUAUUCUAGCUAGAUUUGUAUUGUUUUAUUUCUUUGCAAUAUAUUUUAAACCUGUUCAAUAACAGGUGAGAGGAUCAGGUUUAGGUGCAGGGCUAUGUUUAGGGGAUAGAAAAUGUUAUUAGCUUUAUAUAACAACAAUAGUUGAAGGAAAGUCCCCACUAUGAUAGAAAAGCAACCGUGUGUGUGUGUGUGCGUGUGUGAGAGAGAGAGAGUGUGAAUGUAAGGGUUAUAUUUACAGAAGUGAAGCUGAUUAAGGCCAGCGUGUUGCUGCUUUCACACUCAAACAAAUGCAGUGCAGGGAAAUAUGAGAGUCAUAAAUGUUUUGACAGCUCUAUAUGCGUGAGGUCAAAUAUCUGAAGAGAGUUACUCGAUAUCACACCAUUACUUCCACUGCUACUGCAACUGAAUUCUUCUGUUCUACUAAUGCAUAAUCAUAUGGUUAAAGAUAUUGCCUUAGCAGACUGUAAGUUGGGUCUGUUCUUGUUUUGAACUGGAGAAAGCCCUUUUCCACUAAAAUGAUGCUGAUCACAAGGUUUGAGAAGUGGAAUGCAUUGAUGUGCUGUAUUAUUAUCAAAAUGUGAUUGUAAAUGAGAUUUGAGAGCUUUAGUUGAGGGGAAUAUUAUCAGUGCAUGAUUUCAAGUUAUUUUUAUAAUAUAAAAUAUGGGGACCACCUAUGUGUAGAGCUUGCAUUGAGAUUUGUGUAGCUUUUCCAUGAAAUUUCAUUCAUUGUAUGGAAAAUUAUCUUUGGUUUGGAUCAAAAUAAAGAUGGGUAAAUUAUGACAGGAUUUUAAAAAUCACUCAAAAGAUCAACACUCAAAGAAUAUGUAUGACUAAAUUUAAGAUUUAUGUAUUUAAAUUGCAAAAAAAAAAAAAAAAAAAUAUAUAUAUAUAUAUAUAUAUAUAUAUAACGGUGAAAAUGUUAAUAAUUAUCCAGUUUUAACUAAUAUGUAUCUUUCUCUUUUAAUUAAUAUUUAUCUAAUAAAUUAAUGUGAUACAUAUUUGUCAGCCAUAUAUACAGUAAAUGAAACGGGUAAGAAACAGGUCAGAUUUCUGUACUUGUACUAAUAAACUAAACUUGUUUUAAAUACACAAUAACCAGGGGCUUCAUGUAUAAAACUCUCCGUAUAUUUCAUCCUAAAAGUGUACGUACGCACAAAAGCCAGAACCUGUGCAAAAAUCCCUUCAUAAAUCCCAGUCAGAGGAAGAUUGUGCCUAUGUGCAUCUCCACCCCGACUCCUCCCCGAAAUCACCAUAUAUCGAGCUUGCAACGCCUAAUUUAACUAUGCAUAACCUCAUCUGCAUAUCAUUUCCAUGCAUAUUCCCAUCCAUGUGACACCAUGUUUAACACCAUCACAAGAUAAAAUAUACAGAGAUGUGGACUAUAAAUGCCAUUAUUUUUUAUUGCUAAAAGUUAUCCAAUAUCCUUGUUAUGUUUUAGAAUAAAUAUAUAAAAAUAUCCAUAAAAACAAAACAGUUUUAAAAUAGUUAUUAGAUAAACAUUUUAGAACAGUUGAUCUCAUUGUUUUACACUGUCCAAAUAGUAUUUAAAUUGUUUUAAACAAUUCAAAUCAAAUUAAAUUUAUGCAGUUUUGCUGAUCACUAUUUUUAGUGGAAACAGAUAGGCCUAUAGCCUAUUUAUUGCAGACUCGGCACGUCACUGACAUUUUAAAAAGGAAACGUGUACAUUUUCUUCAAGUUGUAUCCUUCAAAUACAGUGGUACUUUUCAUAAUGUUGUGGAGAUGCCUACACAUCAUUUUUAUAAUAUUAAACUACGCCAUGACUUUUUUUUUUUUCUUUGAAUGCUGAAAUUUUACCUGAUUGUUAAUGUUUGUAUGCAUGACAUUAAGUUUAUUAGUUCAUGUUAAAAAUGUAAUCCAAAAGGAUGAAUAUUUUUAUAUGCAAUUCAAAUGCAUACAGUAAAUCCUAAAUUUAGGCCCAAAUAUAAUUUUAAUUCAAUGUACAUAAACAGCACAAAAAAAAAAAAAAAAGUAAUUGUGGUUGAUCACUGUAUAUGUCAUUAAGUCAAUCUCUUCCUGUCUAAAUGGGUGGUUCUUGGCUAGAAUAAACUACAAAGUGGACCAGAGUUUAUACCAGUAGUCAGACUAGCCGGUCUAAAAAACCAGCAUGAGAAUUCAUUCUGGUCUAAGCCGGUCUUUUCAGCAGGGUGAAAGAGCAAUAUGAACAAUACAAGAGAGGUAUGGAGAGAGCAGAGGUUGGAAAUGAGUGAAUGGUGGGAAAGUAAGAAGAAAGUAAGCAAAAGAGAAAGUGCAGUGCAGUAGGAGGUUCAGAGAGAGAGAAAGAGCCCUUUAAAAAAGGGGGUGUGGGAAUGAAAGAGGGCAAGAAAAUGGGGGAAUGAGAGGAAAGAGGGAGAUUUAGUUGUGUAGUUGGGUGUGGGAAUGCGGGGUCAGAGCUCUGCUGGAAGAAGAGGCUCUUGGCAGGACACAGCUGAAAGGGAUUGUGGGAAUUUAUACCGGAUUAGUGGAGUGUCUGAUGCUCUACAACUCUCAUACGGACACACACACACACACAACUAGAGCUAGACUGAACAUUCACAAUAUAUUUGUUAUGACUUUAACACUUGUUUUGUCCUCUACACUGGCUAAAGUUUGUGUUAUUACACUAGGAGUGUCUUGUGAGUUUGCAAGCAUUAUAUUAAACUUCAGCAGCACAAAUGCUGUUAGAGUUCAAAAUGUCAGAACUCAGAAGUGUGAGAUAUUAAUUAGCAGUUUGGGGGAGGAAUUGCCAGAUGUUAACUUGGAAUUCUGAGGAGAAAAGUUUGAAUUGCAAGAUGUAAAUCUGCAAUUGUGAGAAGAAAAAUAUGAAUUUUGAGAUGUAAACGCAUAAUUAUACAUAAGAAAAGUUCAAAAUUGCAGUAUGUAAAGUCAUAAUUCCAAGUAAAAAAAAUUGUGAGAUAUAGACUCAUAAUUUUAAGCCAAAAAAAUAAAAAUAACAAUCUGAAUUGCAAGAUAUGACCUCUAAGCCGAAAAAGGAAAUUAUGAAAAAAAAAAAAAAACAUUUACAAUAUUUUUAUUAAAUCAUUUCUGUCCGUUUCAAUGAAUUGCUUCUAAACGCAGCAAUUUGUUUUGCAACAUCACUCAACAAUGUAACAUUUUUAAUGUAUUAAGAUAUUUGUAUGUAAAUAUUGGAGUUUAUGAGUAUGUAGAGUUAUAUUGGUGCAUAUAAAUUAUUAAAUAUUCUUGUUGUUUCAUUAGCCCCUCCAAAGAAA